UAAAAGAUGAAAUUCGACGAGUAGACGAACAAGCAGAGUGCGAUAACGAUUUAUUAAAUCUAUCGCUAUUACAAACGCAAUAACUUUUAUAAACGAUAAACGCUCGUAAAGUGGAAGGUCGCGCAUAAAUGUCUCAUUUUUUACAUGCUUAAUAAUAGUGAUUAAAAUUGCAAUAGUAGUAGACACGCCAGAACAACAACGAGGCUUCGACAUAUAAUUCGACAUUCAUACUGUGACAGCAUUUUUCGCACCAUUUAUAAAAUUCGCGACAAAAGUACGUCGAAAUAAAAGACUAGCGGACGGGAGGGCCGACGUAACUGUCUGCGUCCUGAGAACAUUGUUAAAAGAUACAAAAAAUUAGACAAAAUUGAGAGAUCCCAAACUAGGCUUAUAAAAUUUUGAGAGCUUUCUUAUUAGCAAGAAGUGAUAUUUCUCUUUCAGAGAAGAAUAAAUGCUAAGAAGUGUUUAUGACAGGAUCAGUUGUUCGCCAAUAAGAAGCUCCGAGUUCCAACCAAUUACACCAUUUGAUGUACGGAAAGAAAGCAAUACAAAUGAUCAGGAGUUCUAAAUUAUUGCAUGAAUAAUGGCUGUUCUCAAUCUUAUAGCACACAAAGUGCAAGCUUAAAUUGGUUCAGAUUCUAACUUUGCAAGCUCUUCAGUCAAAACUUAUUACGUCAUUAAAAAAAAAUCAAUAAUAAUCUUCAAAUUUAUUCAUUCACUUUGUCUCCAUCCAAGUUUCUAUGUUUCCGCUCACUUAUCGCAUUCUUUUGUCUCAUUUUUUGCUACCACUAAGCGUGAAAAUUUGUUAGUACAGAAUGAAGAUAAGUCAGCUAAGAUAAUAUGAAGCUUAAUUUGGAAAAAAAAUGAAAUCGCACUGAAUGGAGGUUCGAUGUUCGUUUGCAUUACCGAAAAUUGGACGGCGUCAGACAGGCUAUAAAAGUAUACUUGUGAAUAUGGAGUGGCCUGGAAGUGAAAUUCACGAUGCCAAAACCGAAAGGCAAAAAUACAUCAUCUUUCACGCGAAGUGGAUAGUUAGUUCUUCGCUAAAUGAAAAUUCUUUGCAAGUGGAAAUCUUUUAUUUUGAAACAAAAGAGGAAGACUAUAAUUUGGAAAUUGGCGUCUGAGAGCAAUUAAUUACAAAGUAUGCCUCGUGUAUCUCCAUGGUUGUAGCGGUCUACCGAAAGCUGCUUUUGUAUAAAUAUGCACAUAAUUCAAACCAUUUUACGAGUAUGAAACAAGCAAUCAACACUGACUUCUCGUGAAAUUAUUAUUUUACAGCAUUACAGU